rnacentral:tRNA from 1 species
GCCCUUUAGCUCGGUUGGUUAGGGCGUGGGACUCAUACUCGCUCUGAAGCCGGUUCAAGUACAGCAAGGGC